UACGUAGGCAGCAAGCGUUGUUCGGAGUUACUGGGCGUAAAGGGUGUGUAGGCGGUUGGAUAAGUGUGGUGUGAAAUCUCCCGGCUCAACUGGGAGGGUGCGCUACAAACUGUCUGACUAGAGUGCGGGAUGGGAAAGUGGAAUUCCUGGUGUAGCGGUGAAAUGCUUAGAUAUGACGCAGAACACCAAUUGCGAAGGCAGCUUGCUACACUACUAUUGACACUGAGGCACGAAAGCGUGGGGAUCAAACAGG
rnacentral:rRNA from 1 species